CUCACACCAGCCUCUUCUGUCCUCUGGUUCUGUCGCUGUGCACAUUCCCCAGGGCCACACAGGCACCCCUGAGACAGGUGCCAGGAUUUGCGUACUUGUCUCGCUCUGCUCAGCUGUAGAAGUGUAUGGCUGUCAUUAACCAAAGAGCUAAGUUUUCAUGUUUCUUUACACCAUCAGAAUAUUAAGUGAUAUAAUAGCAGCCAGCUUUUUUUGGCUAUUUCCUCAGAGACUGAACCAGGUCCUUUAUCUGUGUAUUUCCUUCAUUAUUACAAAGAUUCUGUGUGACAGGUAGUUAUAGCCCAUUUUCCAAAUGAAGAAACUGAGGCCCAGA
rnacentral:lncRNA from 10 species